GUGAAACUCAAGAAUGGGUAUCAGGAGGUUAGAAAAGCUGUUCUGGAUAAUGACUUUUGGAAGAUGCUGGAGAUCAUUUUGGCAUUUAUUAAACCAAUAUGGGAUGUGAUUUGCUGCUGUGAUUCAGACAAGGCUUGUAUUUGCUUUAUCUGCCUCUGGCUCUUUUCUCCGCUCCUAUGAUCUUUGGUUAUCCAGAGCUUAAAUGUGUUCCUAGUUCGACAGAUCCUGGUGGUUAGGCUUCAAGACACCAUUG
rnacentral:misc_RNA from 1 species